CUCAGGGGAGAUGACAUGAUAGAGCAGACACUCCAUGAUCUCCUGGGGCUUCGCUCUGUACUGUGAGUAGUGAUCACACUGAGGCUCCGUGCAUCACAGGAAAUCACAGAAGCACGUCAGAUCCGGGACGGUUGGGAGUGAGGGGCCGAUGCUGGACACUGUAGGCGCGCGGGAAUGUGAAGUUGAAUACAUCACUGUGAUUGAUGCACUAUUUCCAGGAUGUGGAGUAGCAUUUCCGGACUAUCAAGACGUUGUAAUAAGGCACAUAUUUCCGGACUUACAGCAAGAAGUUGGAUGAAGGCAUAAACCCUCGAAUCACGCACAUACACAGACACUUUGCCCAAAUUCUAGAGGUAACCUCCUUUAGUAUGCCCAGAGGAAGGGCAAUACAGUAGCCAUGGAUUCCCUACAGGUUUCCUCCCCUCUGGAGGUUUUUCCUGUCCUGAGUUAGCUACUGUAUGCUCUUUGUGAGUGAUGGAAGGUUACAUAAAUCCCUACACAAACAUUUUAAUAAAUAAUAAAGUUCCCCUGUUUUUAAACCGUUCUUUGACUUUUUUGACUCAUUUAUUUUAUUUCUGUCUGUGAAAAAUUGUGAUUUUUUUUUUAAGUGUCCAAAGCAUGCCUCAGCAGGCAUCACGUGCAAACCCCUGGGGGGUCCUGAGAACCCCCCCCCCCCCAUGUCAGCGAUCAGUUCAAUUCAGACCGGCGAUCUGCGGCGAUUCCGGGUCAUACGGGUCUGCUAUUCCUGCUAUUGGUCGGUCAGAGACGACUGACCAAUAGCAGUUUGGGAGUGGGGGAGUUAGAGUUC